UACGAAGGGGGCUAGCGUUGCUCGGAAUCACUGGGCGUAAAGGGUGCGUAGGCGGGUCUUUUAAGUCAGGGGUGAAAUCCCAGAGCUCAACUCUGGAACUGCCUUUGAUACUGGGUAUCUUGAGUAUGGAAGAGGUAAGUGGAAUUGCGAGUGUAGAGGUGAAAUUCGUAGAUAUCGGGAGGAACACCAGUGGCGAAGGCGGCGAUCUGGGCAGAUACUGACGCUGAGGCGCGAAAGCGUGGGGAGCAAACGGG
rnacentral:rRNA from 1 species